rfam:Pseudomonas fluorescens F113, complete genome.
UUGGUUAGAACUCAACACAGGUUGACGUCGCAACGGCGUCAACACCUCGGCUCGUCACGCCGGCAACGAGCCACCAACGGCAGAAUGAUUCUGCCCCGGCCUCGAUAGAGGUCGACGCUAAGUAACAGUCAAC